CUUAAAAGGAAGAAGUAGGAAAGAGCUUCUUCUUCUUCCGGCGUUGCAUUGUAGAGCGCAGGCGGAUCUGCGUCUCGAGGAGAGAGAGAGAGAGGGGGUUCGUGCCGCGCAAGGCUGUCAUGGCGACUAACAUCGAGCAAAUUUUUCGGUCUUUCGUCGUUACCAAGUUCCGGGAGAUCCAGGAGCAGCAAUUCGGCAGUGGAAAGCUAGGAAAUCAGCACAAUGGUGAAAUAAACACAUCUGGGCAAGUAAACUCUUCAGAUGAUACAAUUCAAUCUAUAGAAAGUCUUCAAAAUGAUCCACUAGUGCAGAAGAUAGAACAAGUAUUAUCAGAAGUGUUGGGUACUGAGCCACGGUACAAAUCAGGAGAUGGAGAUGAUAUCGAAAGGAAUAAUUCACACUCUAUUAAAAGAGGCUUAUCUGAAGACGUGCAAGAUGAAAUUCCAAGGAAAAGGUCUAAGAAGGACAAGAAACACAAAGAUAAAAAGAAAAAGAAAAAACGAAAGAAGGAGAAGAAAGAGAAGAAAUAUAAAAAACAUGCCAAAGAAACAGAUGAUCAGCAAAAAGAAUGUGAAGAUAUGCAACUUUCUCAUUCAGAUCUAGAAAAUUCAGGUUCUCUCUUAAAUGCAGAAAAUGAUAUAGAUGUACACUCUGGGUCUACCUUGAAUGAAGUUUCUCCUUUGAUUAAUGAAAAAACUGUGUAUGAAAAUCUAAACUCGACUAUGUUGAAUAAUACAUUUAGUUCAGAUACCAGCAAACUGGAUACAUCUGAAGAAGAUUCUACUCUCAUAAGUAUUCAGGAGGUCAGUGAAGUUAAACUUGCAAAUGAAAAAGAAUUGGAAGAUGACAGUUACCAUCCUAAUGUAACAGUAAAUAUAUGCCCAGAGGAUAAAUCUUUGAGUGAUGCUAUUUGCACAGUUGUAGAAAGAGUGUCAGAUAUAAAUGAAGUAGAGCAAGCUAAGUUAAUGUUGGAGACAACAGAUCAAGAAAACAUUCCUGAAAGCAGUCCAUAUUGUGUAAGAGUAGAGCCAGAACAUUUGGAAACCAGGCUGGAAUCUACUGCAAUGAAAGUAACAUGUGUGAAUUCAGUCACAGAGCCUGUGACUUCGAAAAAUGUGAAAGAAACAGUAUCCACCUCUUUUGAAUCAACUGGCUAUAAAUUAAUGACUCUCCCUUUGGAAUCAAAUGCAGAAGCUAAAGAUUCAGUAACAACUUUAGGAUUUUUAGCUAUGGUGGUAGGAAAAGAUUUUGAAGCAACUUCAGAAUUUUUAAAUACAGCAAAAGUAUUCACAGAAAGAAGUCCUAAGCAUUCCAGUAGAAAAGGUGAUUCAGUGCACGAAUUGGAGAAAACUGUCACAAUGAAAGAUUUGCACAAGCCACAACAGUUUGGAACAGAACGGAAAGAUGUGGAAACUACUGCAGAAGCUGUCCAUACAGUCCUUGAAAAAGAUCCUGAGCUAGAUGUGGUAGCUCAGCUGAAACCUCAGCAAGAAGUUUCAGAAUUUGAUGUACAAAAAUAUAAUAGAGCAAACCUUGGUACAGAGAUUCUAAAAGAUAUGAAAGAAUUAAGAGAAACUUGUACCCUCAUGAUUGGACUGAAUGAAUCAGAAAAAAAUGCAGGAUAUCUUCCAAUCCAAAAAGAUGCAACAGAUUUGCAAAGAGCACCACUGUUAGAAAAUAGGACUAGAAUAGAUUCAGAAGAACAUCUCUCCAUUGUAGGAUUGGAAAAAACAAAUGUAGAAGUUAAUUCCUACUUUACGAAAAUUGAUGCAAGAUCUGAUGGUGUAACAGAAUCAGAAAAUUGGAAACCUGCUCCAGAAUCUUCUAAAGCAAAGAAUUUGGAAUGCAUCCAGGAAUUUGAAAAGGCUGAACGGAUUAAUUAUUUGGAAACUUCAUUAGAAACUGUAAUAGAAAAUAGAGGAAACUCUAAAAUCAUUCAACAUUCUCUGGCGCUCUUCAGUGUGAAAGUUCCUGAAAAUGCUUCACAAUUAAAAGACAUGAAUGUUUCAGAAACAAUACAAACAGAGAAAAUACAAAAUCUGGAAAGUUCGAAAUAUGUAGAUCUAAGAAAUGAAAACAAGAAUGCAGAGAAGUUGAAAAAUAUUCCAGAACCUUUGAUGCUUGUAAACAAUUUAGAAAAUUCAUCAGAGUUGCAGUGCAUAGAAGAAAUUAAAAUAGUGAAGGAAACUUCACAAUCUGAUGUGGAGGCACACAAAAAAGAUUUCAAAACUGUUCUUGAACCUGAAGAGAGAGAUGUGGAUGCUGGUUCAGGAUCUCUGCAGAUGAUAUUUGCAAACUAUUCAGAACAUAAUCUAGAACUUUAUACAGAAACUGAAGGUAUGAUAGAGUUGAAAAAUUCAGAUGCAGUUUUGAAAUCAUUGCAUAAGUCAAAUGCUGACAACAUUGAACCACCAUAUGCCAAGGAAAUCAAAUAUGUUAAAAGUACAGAAUCUGAAGCAGUGACUGAAGUAAAUAAUUUACAAGAAAACUUAAAACCAUUACAAAAACAUGUAAAAAAUGUGGAACCUGCAUCAAAAUCAAUUGCAUUACCAACUGUGACAUACACAGAGACACUUGAAGGUACUUCCAAUAGAACGCAAAGUGAAACUGAAUCUCAUUUUGUGCAAGAAAUAGAACAGAAAUGUUUUGAUUCCACUGUAAAGAAGAACCAAAGUAGUGUAGAUACAACAGAUUUGGGACUUACCUCAAGACGUAAGGAAGUAAUUGAAACAAACUCCAGCAAAAUAGGAGAAAGUGAGUUGUUAGUUAAGAGUCAAGGUCCAUUAUUCAUUUCAAAAUCAUUGCAUGAAAUUGAUGUAAUAAGUUCAGAAAAAAGUAAUCCAGAAUUUACAGGAAUAGCGGUAGUACAAGACUUAAAAGAACCUGGAAAAUCUUUGACAGCUGCAAUUGAUCCUAAGGAUUUUUUAAAAUUGAAGAAUUUAGUAUUGGUUGAAUCAAAAGAUGAUUUUCCAUUUGGCGGUACUAUGAAACAAUUUGAAUCAGUUUCAGAAUCUCUUGAACAAAAUCAAGAACGAUUAGAGAACACACAGACACAAAUUAGAAAAGAAUGUUUAGAUCCUGUGCCUGAUUUAAGUGUUAAAUGUGCAAGAACAGAGAUUCCGUUUAUAGAUGAAUUUAAUAUUCAGGAGAAGAACAAGAAAUUGGAAGAAAAAGUAGAAACUACAGGAUUAAUGGAAGCACCAGAACCUCUGAAUUUGUCAGAGAGAGAUCUGAUUGUUCUUACUUCUGAUUCUGGAAUUAAAGUUUCAAGAUAUGGUCCAGAAACUGUGUACUUGACAAAAACAAAUUCAGAGGCCAUCCCGAAGUCUUAUGAAAUUCAAAUGAAAGAUUCAAAAACUUCAGAAUCUAAAACAAGAAAUGUAAAAGACGUGAACAUUGAUUCAGAAUCUUUGCUUCAAGCAGGUGUAGAAAUUAAAGAAUACAUUCCAGGAUGUAAAACAGUGGUAUCAGAUAGUGUGGAAUUUACAGCAGAAAUGCUUCCAGAAUCAAAGAGUAUAACAAAGUUGCAAAACUCAAAUGCAGUACUCAGAAGUGAAGGAUUGACAUAUGAACAUUUGAAAACACCACCAGCAUCUGUAUGUGUAAUAGAUACUGAAGAUCUAGAAAUACCUCCCAAGUCUACAGAAUUGGGCGUAACGGAAAAGCAAGGUGUUCCUACGUCUUUAUCUGCCUCAGUGGAAUCUACAGAUGUAUCAGAAGAAAGUUUUGAACAUAAUUACAGAGCAGAUAUGAAAAAGGUAGAAGCAAGUCAGAAGUCUAUUAAUGUAGAGUUCAUCGGUAAAGAAAAGAUGAACGAUCAACCUGUCCAGCCAUCUAAUGAUAAUGAUGCAAAUGUUUCAAAACUAUUUAUGUCUUCACAUUGUGGUGUAAGGGCACACAUUAUAGAAGAAAGACUGUCAGUUGCCAACGAAGAAAGUGUUUCUGGAAUAACUUCAGAAUCUGGUACAGGAUUGUUAAAAUGCUCUGAAGUGUCUGAAACUAUCACAGGUCAAGAGAGAGAGAGAUUUGAUAUAACUCUGCCUGAAUUUAUGGUAGAUGUCCAAGAUUUGAAAGAAAGCCCUAAUAUUUUAGAUGCACAAGAGAAGAAGACUUUAAAAGCUAGUCAGAGAGAAAAAUAUACUAAGUCUUCUUAUGUAUUAGAAUCCAGGGAUGCAGCUGAUGUUUCACAAUCUGGGUCUAAAGUUGAACCAAAAGGAUUAAGAGCAACAAUGAGCUAUGAAAGACUAUCAGAAAUAAAAGAUCCAGUGGCCACUGCAAUGCAGUUAAAGAAACCAGAAUUAACAUCUUCAGAAUCUGUUUCUAUAUUGGAAGUAACUGACACUUUGAAAACCCCAGAGCUCAAAACUCCUCGAACAUAUUUAGGAGUAACUGGUUUCAAAUCUUCUGACACAACUGCAGAGAGUUGUCCACUAAAAAUAAUUGACUCUGACUCACAAAUCCAACAUGAAAACAUUUUGGAAGUAAAAAAUUUGGAAUCUGCUUCAGAAAUUAAAUAUGGGCUAGGAACAUUUCCAUUCAAAAUUGCUUCAGAAUCUGAAAAAGUGACACCAGAUGAACUUUCAAAAGCUCUUUCAAAAAUAUUAUCUUCAGGCAAUUUGGAAAACCUGGAACAAAUUUUGAAAUAUAGACGUAACCAGGAAAGAAAAGAUUUAGAGUCUGCCCAGUUUGACACCCCGGUGGCCAAAGAUUUGAAAGGAAGUCUUACAGAUGAAGAAAUAAUAGGUAUUCCAGAGACUACUCAAGUUUCAAAAGCAAGAGAUACUGGAUCAAAUCUAUCAGCUACAGUUCCAGAAACAAUUGAAAAAUGUUCUGAUAUAUUUCUGGAAGGUAAAACUAUGUCAGAUGUACAGGCUACAAAUACAAAUGUAGAACUAGACAAUUUAAUUAAAAAGUCACCUGACAUUUCUACAGACAUUAAUAAAUCAAAAUCAAAUUCAGGACUUACUGAUAUAAUGGAAUUGAAAUGUAACAAUGCUUCAGAAUCUGUACAGAUGAAAGAACUGGAAGAUUUUGAAACAGUUGUUUUAAACAAGUCUGUAAUUGAAAUAAAAAACCUCCAAGCUGUACAAACAUCAGGAGAGAAAGAGCAAAUGGAUUUUCAGGAACUCUCAAAAUCAAUGUUACCUUUAAACAUUCAGAAUUUGGAAAGAAACUCAAGUUUGCCACAACAAAAGAUAUUGGAAACAUCUCUAGAACCUGUUAAAGAUUUUGUAUCAGUUUCUGAAUGUUCAAGUACAAAGGAUAUUGAACAGAAUUUAAAAAGUGGAUUUGUGGCAGAAGGGAAAGCUGAGGAAUCAACUGUAGAACAUGUACUAAUGCAAGAUAAGAGUGCAGAAAUAAUUCCACAGUUCACUUUGGAAAUGAAAGAUUCAGAAGCAACCUUAGAAUCUGUAGAUGUGGCAAACAGAAAAGAUCUAGAUGUACAGACUUUUUCAAAGGAGCAAACAACUAUUAAACCUCUCUGUAUGACAACAGAAGGCAAAGCGGAAGUAAAUCAACUGGAAACCAUUGUGCUGGGAGAUUCAGGAGAAGCUGUAAAGCCUGUGCACUUGGCAGAGAAAGAAGUCAUCCGAGUGGGAGAAUGCAUUGAGGCAAAAGAUUCAGGAAUAGCUAUUGAAUCUGAGGUUAUAAUAAAGGAUAAAGACUUGGAAGUUUCUCUUCAGGGCUCUUCAAAAUAUCAGGAUUCAGAUGUUACUCUGAAUUCUUCAGAAAUAAUGAAGGAAAGUGAAGGGAGUAAUUUAAAAGAAAAAAAAAGUGAGAAAAUAAGUAGUAAAAGUAAAGAUAAAAGUAAAAGUGGAAAAAAAACAAAAAAAAGCAGAUCAAAAUCUCCUUCCAAGUCAAAGAAACGUAAAAAGAAAUCUAGAUCACGGUCUACAUCUAGACAAGUAUCUAGAAGAGCACGUUCUAGAAGCAAACAUGAUUCCAGUUCCAAGAGAAAACACUCCACUUCACGUCGCAAAUCUAGAUCCAAAUCUGUUGAUAAAAAAGAAAAAGAAUCUUCAUUAAGGUCUAGACGAAGACGUUCACGGACCUCUGAUCGUCUUAAAUCUAGAUCUAAAUCUCCUGAUAGAAGAGACACUUCAAUAAGAUCAAGACGUAGACGAUCCAGAUCAUCUGAUCACAAGUCUAGAUCCAGAUCAGUUGAAAGAAGAGACUCAGCUAGGAGAAGACGAAGGUUAUCCAGAUCUUCUGACAAUCGCAGAUCUAGAUCACGAUCAGUUGAUAGAAGAGAGGCUUUGACAAGAUCAAGGAGGAGGCGCUCCAGAUCUUCUGACCAUCAUAAAUCUAGAUCACGAUCAAGUGACAAAAGAGAGACCUCUCUGAGAACAAGGCGAAGGCGAUCUCAGUCUUCUGAUCGUUGUAGAUCUAGAUCAAAAUCAUUUGACAGAAGAGACUCUUCAGUAAGAACACGGAGAAGACGAUCUAGAUCUUCUGAUAAUCUCAAGUCUAGGUCAAGAUCGCCCGAUGACAAGAGAGAGCUUUCAGUGAGAAGAAGGGGGAGAAGAUCAAGGACCCCUGAAACUCGCAAAUCUAGGUCUAGAUCUGUUGACAGAAGGGAGAUUUCAGGGAGAGGAAGGCGAAGGCGAUCAAGAUCCUCUGAUAAUCGUAAGUCAAGAUCCAGAUCAGUUGACAGAAGAGACAGUUCAGUGAGGAUAAGGAGAAGGCGAUCUAGGUCUUCUGAUAACCGCAGAUCAAAGUCCAAAUCUGUUGACAAAAGGGACAGUUCAGUGAGGAUGAAACGAAGGCGGUCUGUGUCCUCUGAUCGCAAAUCUAGAUCCAGAUCUGUUGAUAAAAAAGAGACUUCAGCUAGAUCAAAAAGGAGACGUUCCCAGUCUUCUGAUAAUCACAAAUCUAGAUCCAAAUCAGUUGAGAAUGUAGAAACAUCAGGAAAAUCAAAAAGGCAAUCUAAAUCUACUGAUAAGUCCAGAACAAAAUCAGUUGAAAAGAGGGAGUCAACCUUAAAUUCUAGUCAUAGACGAUCUAAGUCAUUAGAUCGCCCAAGAUCUAAAUCAAAAUCUAGAUCGAAGUCUUCUGAAAGAAAAAAAGACACCGAUUCUGUGGAUGGAUCAAGGGGGAAACACUCUAAAUACAGAUCAAAGUCUAAGUCCCUUGAGAAAACAGAUGGAACUGAGUCUUUGGAAGUAACUUUGAAUAAUCGAGAAAAAUCACCUGAGCAGCACAAAUCUAAAUCUAGGUCUAGGUCUAAAUCUGUAGAUAAAGCAGGAGAGAAAGAACGCUUGAGAAGAUCAAGAAGUAAAGGUUCCAAGUCCUCAGAAUCUAGGUCUCGUAGACGUAGAACAGUAUCAAGGUCUAGAAGAAAUCGUUCACAAUCACAGUCACGUUCUCGAACUCGUUCACAGUCACGUUCAAGACGGAGGAGGACUAGAUCAAGAUCAAUAUCAAGACAGCGAUCUUUGUCAAGGAAAAGACAUAGACGAUCUCGGAGAAAUCGAUCAAGAUCAACCGAGAGGAGGAGAAGAAGAUCUGAUUCAAGAGACAGUUUUAGAAUAUCUCUCAGGUUACGUUCCAGAAGUCGAACACCUGUCCGUCUGAGAUGUUCUAGGUCUACAGGAAGAAGAAGAAGUACUAGUAAAUCACCUGAUCAUCGACGGUCUAGAUCUUCAAGCAGAUCACCAAAACGUCUCACUGACUUGGAUAAGGCACAGUUACUUGAAAUAGCCAAGGCAAAUGCAGCAGCAAUGUGUGCUAAGGCUGGUGUUCCUCUCCCACCAAGUCUGAUGCCUGUUAUAACUCCAGAGAAGAAGGAAGAGAAAGUUACUCAAAAGUCAGCAAAAGAAACAAUAUUGGAACUGACUGAGAAAUGCAAGAAGAUUGCCCAAAGCCAGGAAGAUGAUGUCAUUGUAAAUAAGCCUCAUGUUUCUGAUGAAGAAGAGGAGGAACAUCCUUUUAUCAACCAUCCCUUUAAGCUGAAUGAGCCCAAGCCUAUUUUUUUCAAUUUAACUACUCCUACAAUAAAACCAACACCUCCAAAAAAUCAGGUAACUCUGACAAAAGAGUUUCCAGUUUCUUCAGGAUCUCAGCACAGGAAAAAAGAAGCAGACAGUGCAUAUGGGGAAUGGGUUCCAGUUGAGAAGGACAAGGAUGAGGACAAGGACGAUGUGUUUCCCAAUCCAGCCAAUUUGGAGCCUGUGGACAUCUCAUCAGCACUGAAUGAACGGACAAUAGCCCAAAAGAGACUAACGGAAAAUACAUUUGAUUUGGAGGCAAUGUGCUUGUUAAAUCGGGCACAAGAACGGAUUGAUGCCUGGGCUGAGCUGAAUACGAUACCAGGCCAUUUUACAGGCAGCACUGGAGCACAGGUCUUGACUUCUGAACAGUUAUCCAACAGCGGUCCCCAAGCAUGGGUUAAAAAGGAGGACCUAGAUUUCAUCUGGAGGGACUGACAGCGCUGAUCUUACACGAUUGCUACAAUGAACAGGAAACCCGACCAGGAGUUCCCAGGUAUUCACCCUUGCACCCAGGAUUGGGUCUUGGCGUUCCCAUUUGUGUGGGCUUUUCUUGGCAUUGAAUGAAUCUGGUAAAUUGUGAUUUCUUACCUCUUUCGUUCCUAACUAUACCUGCACCAGUCUGAAUAUCAUUUUUUUUCCAUUACAGUGGUGUUGAAUACUUCCUCUCUCAGGCAUUCUUACUGCUAGGUGCUUUUAUUAGAUUUCAUUUGCUUGUCCUGUAAACUGAUUGUAGACCUGUCAGCCUUUUUUUACAGUAGGAAGAAGAAAUGGCUUGCCCUAGCUAGUGACAAGAAAUUUACUACUUCACUUGAGUAGUCAUGGCGAAUAGGCGGCAAUACAAAUUAAUAAAUAAAUAAAUAAAAUAAAUAAAUUAAACAAAAAGUCUUGCUUAGUAUAGGGAGAUUUAAAGACAAAUUGCCAUAGAAGCAAUAUAGUCAGAGCAAAACAAAUAAUUCAGAAUUUAAAAACUUUUACACGUUUCCCACAUCAUUUGUUGACUUUAUAGUUAUUUAUUUCAAUAAUAAGCAAUCUUGACUUACUGUACCUUUGUACUGGAAAAUAUAUUAAUAGUAUUGUAGAUUUAGUUCCUCUGUACUGUGAAAUAACAUAGUCACCAUGUAAUGUUAUUUCAAGUACUUGUUCAACUUUCUGAUAGUGAUUGUUUAGCAUUGUAAAUAAAAUAGCAUAUUACAUGUAUAUACUUAACAGGCAUUUUAUUUUAGUUAGUUUUUACUAGCCAAAUGGUUUCCAGAGCAAGAUACGUGCAAGCUGGAAUAGAUAGGCCUUGUUCAAAGCAUCUGGAAGGGGGUAUGAGGCCGAAAAUAGCUCAUAUAGUUUUCUCUUGUAGAUGAAUCAGUGUAGUAUUUGACAUCAACUACUGUUAGAUGUAAUUUGCAGGAUUGUAAAGGCUUGUGGAAAUAAUCCAUAUCAUGAAUUAAAAUGCCUGGAGUGUUUGACAAGGAGUUGUAAUAUGCAGUUCAAGAACAACAGAAUAAAUAUUAAGAUUCCCCUUAGAAACCAUAAACUUCAGUACCUAAUUAAGCACAGAUUAAAAAGGAUUUGGGGAUUUUAGACAAAAACGGUUCUUUUUUCCACUGGACUUUGGCACAUAUGUUUUCCUUUGGGUUCUAUCAUUGAAUUCUACAACUGGAUAACCUGUGAACAUAGUGUUAUAAUCAGCUUGAUGCGCAAUUAGAAAACAGUGCUUCUUCAAAAAUGUUGUGCUGUACUUCAGGGUUUUUUUUUUUAAACCGUCCAGGUUAUAUUUCAUCUUCGUAGAAAAAAAAAAAAAGACUACUUAGGAUUGUGCUCACCUGCAUUUCAAACAAAAAGCCUUCUUUUUAUUUUGCCCCCAAUAAUUAGGGCAGUGUCUGAUAAAUUCUUGCAACCUCAAAGACCCUCCUGAAACAAUAGGUCCCUGGCAUUUUUGUGAACUGGAUACACAUUGGUGAUGAAACAGACAUUGUUGAUGAACAUUCUAUCAUUGCAAAGCAGGUACAAAAGAGGAGUCGGAGCCCUGGGUGACAUUGACUGGGGUUUGUAUCAUACUCUGCAUGGUUGCCCUUUUCUAAUGAGAGGUUCGUGGAAAGGAGAGGGGAGGAUGAAAAUGGAAGUAAGUAAAAGCCAUUCUAGAGGUGUAUCAACUCGAAGCAGUUGGUAACUGGCAUCAGCUAACAUGUUUCUGUGUACACAAACUGCAUGGCUUGCACCAGUCAAACUGUUUCUGUGAGAGGUAAUGUUUGCCUCAUUUAGCCUUUUCUUACAUAAGAACACUUUUUCCAAAGUAAUGUUCAUUUGCAUGGUAUACAGACAUCUGUUUAAUUGUAUUAUAUGGGCUGAUUUAAUACUUGAGGAACUCAUGUUACAUACGUUAUUGGAAUCACUACAAUUUGCUUUCUUAACAGGGAUACAGAGAUUAGUACUGCAGUGUGUGUGCGUAUGUCAUAAUUUUCUGUGCUGAAGAACAAACCUAUGUACUGUACACUCAAUUCGCUUUCAGUGCCUAUUUUCAGUCAUUGAAAUGUAGACUGAAAGCAGAGGGGUUUCUAUGUAUAGUUGGUAUGUUAAAUUUUAAAAAUGAUGUGCUAAUACUACACACACAGACACAUAAAUAUAUGUAUGUACUUAUGUGUUUGUGUGUGUGUAUAUAUACAUACAUCUACGCAAGCAGUUUGUUGUGUUGGGUCCUUUGGGUGGGGCAAAAAGAGAGAUGAUAGUUCACAGAAUAGCCUGUGAACUUUCACCCCUCUAUAUGGAAACUUGUUUCAGGGCCAAAUCUGCCUUGUAGCUGCCUUCUUGCCACGGUCAAUGCCAGCCCUACUAUUCACAACACUGCAGCAUCGAGGCCUA